rnacentral:rRNA from 1 species
UACGAAGGGGGCUAGCGUUGCUCGGAAUCACUGGGCGUAAAGGGCGCGUAGGCGGUCAGCACAAGUCAGUUGUGAAAUCUCCGGGCUUAACUCGGAAAGGUCAACUGAUACUGUGCGACUAGAGUGCAGAAGGGGCAACUGGAAUUCUCGGUGUAGCGGUGAAAUGCGUAGAUAUCGAGAGGAACACCUGCGGCGAAGGCGGGUUGCUGGGCAUUAACUGACGCUGAGGAGCGAAAGCAUGGGGAGCGAACAGG